rnacentral:rRNA from 1 species
AACGAACGCUGGCGGCGUGGAUUAGGCAUGCAAGUCGAACGAGAAUCUGGAAGUUCAAGUUUUCGGACAAGAAUUUUUCGGAGGACAGUGGCGGAAGGGUGAGUACAACAUGGGUAAUCUAUCUUCAAGUUGGGUAUAACUCCUACGAAAGGGGAGAUAAUCCCGAAUGUGGUGAUCCGACGCAUGUCGGAGGAUCUAAAGGGCGGGGACCGCAAGGCCCGUCGCUUGAAGCCGAGCCCGUGCACUAUCAGCUAGUUGGUGAGGUAACGGCCCACCAAGGCUAUGACGGUUAGCUGGUCUGAGAGGAUGGUCAGCCACACUGGGACUGAGAUACUGCCCAGACUCCGUACGGGAGGCUGCAGUCGAGAAUCAUUCGCAAUGGGCGAAAGCCUGACGGUGCGACGUCGCGUGGAGGAUGAAGGUCUUCGGAUUGUAAACUCCUGUCAUGAGGGAUAAAUGGCCAGGGCACCAAUAGUGCUUUGGAAUGAUACG